rnacentral:rRNA from 1 species
GUGGACGCCAGUCUGCAUGGAGCCGACCUUGAAAUACCACCCUUUAAUGUUUGAUGUUCUAACGUGGACCCGUGAUCCGGGUUGCGGACAGUGUCUGGUGGGUAGUUUGACUGGGGCGGUCUCCUCCUAAAGAGUAACGGAGGAGCACGAAGGUUGGCUAAUCCUGGUCGGACAUCAGGAGGUUAGUGCAAUGGCAUAAGCCAGCUUGACUGCGAGCGUGACGGCGCGAGCAGGUGCGAAAGCAGGUCAUAGUGAUCCGGUGGUUCUGAAUGGAAGGGCCAUCGCUCAACGGAUAAAAGGUACUCCGGGGAUAACAGGCUGAUACCGCCCAAGAGUUCAUAUCGACGGCGGUGUUUGGCACCUCGAUGUCGGCUCAUCACAUCCUGGGGCUGAAGUAGGUCCCAAGGGUAUGGCUGUUCGCCAUUUAAAGUGGUACGCGAGCUGGGUUUAGAACGUCGUGAGACAGUUCGGUCCCUAUCUGCCGUGGGCGCUGGAGAACUGAGGGGGGCUGCUCCUAGUACGAGAGGACCGGAGUGGACGCAUCACUGGUGUUCGGGUUGUCAUGCCAAUGGCACUGCCCGGUAGCUAAAUGCGGAAGAGAUAAGUGCUGAAAGCAUCUAAGCACGAAACUUGCCCCGAGAUGAGUUCUCCCUGAGACUUAGAGUCUCCUGAAGGAACGUUGAAGACGACGACGUUGAUAGGCCG